GAAAAACGGGUGGAGGGCCACCUCCACUACAUCUGACCGAGGCUGAGGAGCUGGCCCUCAGCCAAAACAGGGGUCGCCCUGUGGCUGAAGGCAUCCCCGGGGGAAGCUCAUCCGAACCUGUCACCCCCCAGGACACAAGUCCCUACAUCAGAUGCAAGUAUACACUUAUGUCUUUAAAAAAUAAAACUAAUAUAUAAAUAUAUAUAGCCUACUUUUUAACAAAUAUAUAUCCACCCACCCAACAGUUGUGGAUGGUGUCAUCUGCCUGCUUCAGCCUCCGACAGAAACAAACCCUGUAGCUGUAAGUCUUCCAUACUCAGAUUCCUCAGAUGGUAGUUCAAAGUAUUCUGAAACAGUAUAUUUUCCUGCAUUACAGGAGGGGGAGGAGGAGGAGGAGGAUGAAGAAACACUGUCUGCUGCCACAGGGAGAGAUCCAGAG